ensembl:rRNA 5S_rRNA 5S ribosomal RNA
GUCUGCGGCAAUACCAACCUGAGUACACCCUAUGUCCUCUGAUAUCUGGAAGCUAAGCAGGGACAGGUCUGCUUAGUAUUUGGAUCGGAGAAAGAAAAUAGAGAGGCAGAGA